AGUUUUGAUGGUUUGUUCUCAGCUUCUGAAAGACUCUGCUGUGCAAAUCCAUGCAAAGCUCU
ensembl:miRNA